rnacentral:tRNA from 1 species
AUUCUAGUAGCUUAACCACAAAGCAUUGGUCUUGUAAACCAAAGAUUGAAGACUACAAUCUUCCCAGAAUA